rnacentral:tRNA from 1 species
GUGUAGCUCAGUGGUAAAGCACAUGCUUAGUAUGCAUGAGGUCCUGGGUUCGAUCCCCAUGAUACA